rnacentral:rRNA from 1 species
GACGAACGCUGGCGGCGUGCCUAAUACAUGCAAGUCGAACGCAGUGGGGACGGGUGAGUAACACGUGGGUAACCUCCCAUCAGAGGGGAUAACACUUGGAAACAGGUGCUAAACCGAUACUGAUGGAUGGACCCGCGGUGCAUUAGCUAGUUGGUGGGGUAACGGCUCACCAAGGCCACGAUGCAUCGCCGACCGGAGAGACGGAUCGGCCACACUGGUGCUUGUCCACGGCCCAGACUCCUACGGUAGGGAGCAGUAGGGAAUCUUCGGCAACGGACGAAAGUCUGACCGAGCGACGCAGCGUGUGUGAAGAAGGUUUUCGGAUCGUAAUGCUCUGUUGUUAGUGAAGCGGUAUCUAACCAGGAAGCCACGGCUAACUACGUGCCAGCAGCCGCGGUAAUAC